rnacentral:rRNA from 1 species
CGGCAGGGAAGAAGGGCCGGUGAUCAUACCCGCAGAAAAAGCUCCGCCUAACUAGGUGCCAGCAGCUGGGGUAAUAGGUAGGGCGCGAGCUUUGUCCGAAAUUAUUAGGCGUAAAGAGCCAUGUAGGCGGUUUGUAACGUUUUCCUGUGAAAAGACGAGGCUCAACCUAGGGCUAGCAAGGAGUAGGGGCAGAUUAGAGUGCGGAAGGGGGGAUCGGAAUUCGUGGAGUAGCGGGGAAUGCGCAGAUAUCAGGAGGAACACCGAUGGCGAAGGCAGAUCUCUGGGCCGCUACUGACGCUGAGGAGCGAAAGGGUGGGGAGCAAACAGGCUUAGAUACCCUGGUAGUCCACCCCGUAAACGUUGGGAACUAGAUGUGGGGGCCUUUCCACGGUCUCCGUGUCGCAGCUAACGCAUUAAGUUCCCCGCCUGGGGAGUACGGCCGCAAGGCUAAAACUCAAAGGAAUUGACGGGGGCCCGCACAAGCGGCGGAGCAUGCGGAUUAAUUCGAUGCAACGCGAAGAACCUUACCAAGGCUUGACAUAUAGAAGAACACUGUAGAGAUACAGGACUCUUUGGACACUUCUAUACAGGUGGUGCAUGGUUGUCGUCAGCUCGUGUCGUGAGAUGUUGGGUUAAGUCCCGCAACGAGCGCAACCCUCGUUCUAUGUUGCCAGCACGUUAUGGUGGGAACUCAUGGGAUACUGCCGGGGUCAACUCGGAGGAAGGUGGGGAUGACGUCAAAUCAUCAUGCCCCUUAUGUCUUGGGCUUCACGCAUGCUACAAUGGCCAGUACAAUGGGCGGCGAUACCGUGAGGUGGAGCGAAUCCCAAAAAGCUGGUCCCAGUUCGGAUCGUAGUCUGCAACUCGACUACGUGAAGUCGGAGUCGCUAGUAAUCGCAGAUCAGCAACGCUGCGGUGAAUACGUUCCCGGGUCUUGUACACACCGCCCGUCAAGUCAUGAAAGUCGGUAACACCCGAAGCCGGUG